rnacentral:rRNA from 1 species
UACACAUGCAGUCGAACGGUAAGGCCCCUUCGGGGGUACACGAGUGGCGAACGGGUGAGUAACACGUGAGCAACCUGCCUCUGACUUUGGAAUAACAGUUGGAAACAGCUGCUAAUACCGGAUAUGACUUACCUCCGCAUGGGGGUGGGUGGAAAGCUCCGGCGGUCAGGGAUGGGCUCGCGGCCUAUCAGCUAGUUGGUGAGGUAAUGGCUCACCAAGGCUUCGACGGGUAGCCGGCCUGAGAGGGCGACCGGCCACACUGGGACUGAGAUACGGCCCAGACUCCUACGGGAGGCAGCAGUGGGGAAUAUUGCACAAUGGGCGAAAGCCUGAUGCAGCAACGCCGCGUGCGGGAUGACGGCCUUCGGGUUGUAAACCGCUUUCACCCAUGACGAAGCGCAAGUGACGGUAGUGGGAGAAGAAGCACCGGCCAACUACGUGCCAGCAGCCGCGGUGAUACGUAGGGUGCGAGCGUUGUCCGGAAUUAUUGGGCGUAAAGGGCUUGUAGGCGGUCUGUCGCGUCGGAAGUGAAAACUCGAAGCUUAACUUCGAGCCUGCUUCCGAUACGGGCAGACUAGAGGGAUGCAGGGGAGAACGGAAUUCCUGGUGGAGCGGUGGAAUGCGCAGAUAUCAGGAGGAACACCGGUGGCGAAGGCGGUUCUCUGGGCAUUACCUGACGCUGAGAAGCGAAAGCGUGGGGAGCAACAGGCUUAGAUACCCUGGUAGUCCACGCCGUAAAC